UUUGAAUUUCAUUAUAUAUCGCUGAUCAAAUAUCUCCACAACUUCUUCUUUAAUAAGAGAUAGAGAAUGAUCCAAUGAUUAGAGUUUUAAAAAGUACACUAACUACAGUAAGGGUUCAUGAUUACUACAUUGUUGAAUACGAUCAAGCAGUCUGGAAGACUGUCGAGUGUUGCUUUGGAGGAGAUUUCUACCCAGGAUUAUCUUGAAAUGUCAGACUCUCUGGAACUACUAGACUCAGCAUAAACAACAGGAGUUGGUUUUACUCUGUGGGACUCCACUUUACAAUGGGUCUUCCUUUCCCUGCCCAAACUCCAGAGCUCGAGUUUCGCUCUUGUCGCCCAGGCUGGAGUGCAGUGGCGCGAUCUUGGCUGACUGCAACCUCCACCUCCCAGGUUCAAGCGAUUCUCCUGCCUCAGUCUCCAGAGUAGCUGGGACUACAGGUGCGCACCACCACACCUGGCUAAUGUUGGCAUUUUUAGUAGAGACAGGGUUUCACCAUGUUGACCAAGAUGUUCUCCGUCUCCUGACCUUGGGAUCCGCCCGUCUCGGCCUCCCAAAGUGCUGGGAUUAGAGGCGUGAGCCACUGUGCCCGGCAAUAAAUACUUUUAAGAGUUUCGGUAAUGUGAAUUACUGAGCUAGAAGUUAGAGAUAGGAAUAAAAAUAACCCAAAGAACAAAAUAUUUACUAAGCCGCUGUAUUAAUCUGUUUGCACGCUGCUGAUAAAGACAUAUCCGACACUGGGGAAUUUACAAAGGAAAAUGAUUUAAUGGAGAACUCAGAGUUCUACGUGGAUGGGGAAGCCUCACAAUCAUGACAGAAAGUGAGGCGGAGCAAGUCACAUCUUACCUGGAUGGCGGCAGGAAAAAAGAAAGAGUUUGUGCAGGGGAACUCCUCUUUUAAAAACCAUCAGCUCUCAUGAGACUUAUUCUCUAUCAUGAGAACAGCCCUGAAAGACCUGCCCCCGUGAUUGAAUUACCUCCCACCAGGUGUCUCCCACAAUAGGUGGGAAUUCAAGGUGAGAGCUGGGUGAGGACACAGCCAAACCAUAUCAGCCACCACACAAACAUGAACUUAUGCUAAAAUGUAGUUAAUGUCAUUAUAUAACACAAAUACAUGCAAAGACACAGAGUAAUGAAAGCCUUGUUUAACCAGGUAGAUAGGGCAGUAGUCAGCAAAUGCUUUCUGGCUAAGAUUGGUGUUGCUAUACUGAACCGAAAUAAGAACAUGAAUUAA
rnacentral:lncRNA from 10 species